GAUAAAGCAAAAGUCCCUACUUCAUGAGGCUGCUGCAAAGCCAGACCAGCUCUCUCUAAUGCCCAGCCCACAAGGAGCCAUUAACAAGGCACACACGAACCUUGGGUAUAGCUGGAGAAAGGACCUUGAUCCUCAGCUGAAGAAAUUGCACUGAACCAGUGAGAUGGGGGCUGUGUCCCCAGACAUUGCCCCCACUCUUGACAAAUAGAGCACCCAAAGAAUGGGUGCCUUCCAUGUGGAUAUUAAGUCCCCUGAAAAGCUUCUUGGAGGACAUCAGAUUUAAAUGAAUAGAAGAGGGCCCCUGAAUGGCUGAGUGAAGAGGAGGGGGCCGCAGGGCAGUUCAAGCCACUUCCAAGAUGGAGAAGGCAUGGGAACCCACGAUGGCAGUGGAGUAAAAGACAACCCCUCCCUUCAAGACAGGUUCCUCCAGUUUGCAAAGCGAGGCCAUAGAACUGGGAAAUGCAAAAUGAAAUCUGCAAUGAAACACUAACACCCACCCACCAGGAUAGCUAAAAUUAAAGACUGAUACCAAGUGCUGGCAAGAAAGUGGAGCAAUGGGGCUUCUUGUGCCUUGUGGCCCCGGUGACUACCUAGAGAAUGGAGAAUUCUCCUGAUAGAAUCAGCUGGUGGAAUAUGACUCAGCAACAAAAGAGGCCAACUACCAAACACGAGCCACAACAUGAAUGAAUGUCCUAUGUGACUUAAAGAGGCACAGAGUCAACUCUACCCUGAGUCAAUUUCUGUGAAGACCCGAAACAAAUGAAACUAAUGUGGGGCGACAAGAUUAGAGCAACCUGGAAGGAGGAACGUUCUGGAGAGUUCGUAAUGUCUCUUGAUAGGAGUUUCAGUGACAUGGGUACAGGUGUCUGUUGCCUAAUGUGGAAAUAAGCCACGGUCCCAAAGAGCUGCACAACCAGCCUGGCCUGCCCACCUUCAGGCCAUUAGAAACAAGCUCAAUCUUAUUUCUGUGCUGCAGAUGACUUGAAGGCAAUACCUGGGAUCUGUUUGCCUCAAAGUGCUUGGCGGAACACAGAUUCUACAUAAAUUCUCGCAGGAGUGAGGGCACUCGAUGACAGCCAGAGGCACAGACACAGAAAACAGAAGACGCAGCCUGAGCGCCAGCCUGGAUAAGAAGGAGCUUUGUCUCUUCCAGAUGAUGUUUGGACCUUCUAGACCUUGGACAGGGUGCCCAGCCCUGUGAAAACAAGGUGAGUGAUCUCAUGAGACAUCCUCAAAGGCGUGAUGACUGACAGAACCUUGAGGAGAGGUUGGUUUCUGAACUGUACCAAAGCAAUUUAUUAUAUUGAUGAUUGAUGCCUGGCUCUGAGGCAGGUGUCCAAGAGAGACAGGCAGGAAAGGAAGAAGUCCUGGGAGAUGUGGGGGUAUCUUAGCACCCCAAAGCAAGACACCCUAUAGCUGGGGAUUCUCCUCAGAGACACAUGCUGUAAAAAGAGCCAGGGCUGCCUCAGGUCAGGCCCUGGGGCCAAACAGUGUUCCAGAGGAACAGUGGGAGGCCAGGGCUCCAAUUCCUCCACCCUGCAGGGAGAAACUGAGGCUCAGUGAGGUUAUGGCUUAGGUAGAACAACACCCCUGUGACAUCUGGGGAUGGGUUAGCUACAUGGCCUUACGGGUAACACAGCUUCUAGGAGACCAGAGAACAUUGGGAACAUCUCCCAAUGGCUGACUUCUCUACUAGGCCCACGAGGCAUAGUGUCCAGGACCCACCAAAAUCAGGGGGAAGGGAGGGAGAGAAUCACCUUCAUACCAACAUGCUCAUACAGUAUUUUUUUAACUUUUGAAAUUAUCAUUAUUUACUCCUCUCUCUGUGUCUGUCACCACCACCACCACCCCGUGUAUGUGUGUGUGUGUGUGUGUGUGUGUGUGUGUGUGUGUGUGUGUGUGUGUGAAUGCCAUGGCUUGUGUAUAGAGACCAGGAGGAUAACUUUUGGGAGUUAGUUCUCUUCUACCAUCUGGGUUCUGUAGAUUGAACUCAGGUCAUCAGAUUUGGCAGUAAGUUCUCUUAUGCACCAUGCCACCUCACAACAAUUAAUACACUGUUAAUUGGUGUAGCUGUGUGUGCUCGUUCAUGGGCAGGUCUGCAUGCAUCUGCGUGUGCACACUGAUGGAGACUUAUCGGGUGUUGUUCUUCCAUCUUCUUUUGUGACACAGGGUCUCUCACUCGGACCUGAGCUUGCCUUAGGCUAGGCUGGCAGGCCAGCGAGCUGCGGGCUGCUGGGACCCAGUCCUCUAGAUACUCAUCUCCCCAGCUGGGAUGGCAAGUGUGUGCUGCCACCACACUUGGCUUGUUUGUUUUGUUUUGUUCAGACAGGGUCCUAUGUAUUCCUGGCUGACCUGGAAACCGCUAUGCAGAUCAGACUGGCCUUGGAGAGUCCUGCCUCUGCCUCUGCCUCUGCCUCCCCAGUGCUGGGACUAAAGACAUAGCAGACAUUCUCCUGAAGAAGUCAAAGCUCUCAACCAGGCCCAGGCCACUCCAGUGAGCCUGCAGCGCCCCACCCCACACUCUGUCCCAUGUUCCUCCCCAAAUCCCCUCACCAUGCCAGCCAUCUUGCAACUCUGAGCUGAGCAAGGUUGGGUUCCAAUUCCUGGCAGAGCCCAGUUUCCUGUUUUUCUCCAAGUGGACAAGGUCAGGCUGCUGCUGGGAAGGGAUGCGGGACCCCAGAGGGCAACAAAUCUCAACCACAUGGAGGAAGGAGGGGCUCUGAGCCACACCGGGCCCCUCCCUGGGUCCCUCUUUCUCUGUGUAGAGGCCCCACCACUCUGACAGCCUUGCAGAACCCUGCAAGGCCUCUGGGUACCCUCUCACCUGGGUUUCAGUUUGCUCAUCUAUAAAAUGCAGCAGGAGGGUCUAAAGAAUCUUCCUGCGUGCAAGAGAAUCCAAGUUAGACAAGUCGGGGACAUGUCCUCCAAAAGGACCCCAGUGGCUACCUGUGCCGUAGGGCCUGUUACAGGAGCUGAAGUAGUGAUGACAGCACUUGCUGACUGCAUCCCAGCCCUGUGUGGGACUUUCCGUGCCAUCUCAUCUUCACAGAGACCUCUGAGAAACAUAAGAGCACUUUUGUAGCCUGGUAUUGCAAAGGGGAGAGCGAGGCUGCAAGCCCAGCAGCCCUGGGAGCCCUGUGCCCACAGUCCUGCCACCUUCCUCCUCAUGCUGCUGGUGUGGACUAUAUCUGGGAAAUCCAGGAAUGGCGGUGAACUGUGAGGCCUUAAUGGAAGUGGCUGAGGAGUCACUGUGUAAGAACAAUAAAAUGCUUUGCUGGCUGGUACCCACAGAAACCAGGGACUUAAUACAAAGAGCCAGUCCAUAAGCAUCAGGCCAUACCCCAUUACCACUGUGUAGGGGACAGUAAGCCACACCUGUUAGAGGCGUGGUCAAAGUGAGGUCAGGAUGACCUCUCUGGGCUCUUAAGGGGCCACAGAGCGCAUGGAAGCCCCUUCUCCUGCCCCUUCUCUCUGGCCUCACUGCUCGGCUGCCCCUGGCACGCUCUGGCUUGUGUUUGGCUGGUGUUUAUCUCAAUAAAGAUAUCUUGACCUUACAGAUUAUGGAUUGUCUCUUGGGUCACUCAAUACCAUUCAAUCAACACCGCUGGGUUUGUGCCUCUUCCAGGAUAUAGAGCCAGAC
rnacentral:lncRNA from 1 species